GGCAAACUCCCACCGUCCACCGUCGACAGUCCACCAGUCCACCAGUCCACAGUCCACAAACACGGUGAGACGCGAAACAAUUAGCAGAAAUUUCUUCGUUUUGUGUUUGAGACUAUUCCAAUUCCAUUGCAGCAAGUGAUCCAAAUCGCGCGGACGAAUUUGGUCUGAUUACAACAGGUGAUUGUGAUCGUUGUGGAGAUAUGAUCUCAGUGCAAAAAUGUGUUAUUAAUUUUGAAGGCAAUGAGGUCUCAGAAGUAUCUAAAAUGAGCAAUUUAACUGGUGGAAAAUCUGAAACCAAUCUUCCAAAUCAAUUGAAAGUUAUUUUUUGUCAAGAUUUAAAUGGAAGUUUGGAUGGGGUUGGCUCAGCAGAUGUUUGUGAUUAUACUUGUCAUAAUGAUGGACGAUUUUGGAGGUGUUACAACUUUGUACAAGAGACUAAGAUAGGAUCUCUAGUUUGAAAGCUGAUCAAGAUGCUACAGCGCUGAGGGAGCUGCUAUUUGUUCAUUUUGUAUAUUUCACUCAUUUUGAAGGUGUGCAUCUGAUUAUACCUUGCUGUAACUUUAUUAUCAACUUCAGAAAAGUGCUAAGUGCGAAAGUGUAAGAACUCGGAGGAUAUGUACAAUGCUUAGUAUAAUUUUAAGGAUGAUGAUGAUGACAGUGACCGAGAACCAUCAGAAAAGCAAAUAGAAGUUCUGCAGUGGUUGUGUCAAUUGUACCCUGAUUAAUGUCGAGGAUGUUGAAAAUUGUGAAGUAUGCGGAGAACACAGUGAAUCUGGGAUACUCAGGCAUGGAUUUUUUUGCAUCUCCAUAUCUGCCUGU